rnacentral:rRNA from 1 species
GCAGAGCAUCCUACGGGAGGCAGCAGUGGGGAAUAUUGCACAAUGGGCGCAAGCCUGAUGCAGCCAUGCCGCGUGUAUGAAGAAGGCCUUCGGGUUGUAAAGUACUUUCAGCAGUGAGGAAGGUGGGUAUGUUAAUAGCAUAUUCAUUUGACGUUAGCUGCAAAAGAAGCACCGGCUAACUCCGUGCCAGCAGCCGCGGUAAUACGGAGGGUGCGAGCGUUAAUCGGAAUUACUGGGCGUAAAGCGCAUGCAGGUGGUUUGUUAAGUCAGAUGUGAAAGCCCGGGGCUCAACCUCGGAAUUGCAUUUGAAACUGGCAAACUAGAGUACUGUAGAGGGGGUAGAAUUUCAGGUGUAGCGGUGAAAUGCGUAGAGAUCUGAAGGAAUACCGGUGGCGAAGGCGGCCCCCUGGACAGAUACUGACACUCAGAUGCGAAAGCGUGGGGAGCAAACAGGAUUAGAUACCCUGGUAG